AAGGUACUUCACAGGAUCAUUUCUGUAGUUGAUCUUCACACACUCCACAUUCAAAUAUGGUGUUGUCGCAGCCACGAUGACGAGUGAUAGUUUCGUCUCCUGAGCGUGAGGCAGAUCUGUUUUCAGUUGCUGAAACUGAACUCGGGUCAUCAGGCAAUGCUUGUGUGAC